rnacentral:rRNA from 1 species
GACAGAGGGUGCAAACGUUGUUCGGAAUUACUGGGCGUAAAGCGCGUGUAGGCGGCCCGGAAAGUCGGAUGUGAAAGCCCUGGGCUUAACCUAGGAAGUGCAUUCGAAACUGCUGGGCUUGAGGGCAGUAGAGGGUGGUGGAAUUCCGGGUGUAGUGGUGAAAUGCGUAGAUAUCCGGAGGAACACCAGUGGCGAAAGCGGCCACCUGGACUGUACCUGACGCUCAAACGCGAAAGCUAGGGGAGCGAACGGG